rnacentral:lncRNA from 1 species
CGAGAGGAGCCGUCAUCUCUCCGGUGCCCGGGAGAGGGGCCGGCGGGACGGUACAGCACCCGGAGAAACGUUGAUGCCGUGUCCCUCAAGCCCAGCACCGGUUUUGCCGCCUUGACUCGAAGGGUCAACCAGGCCAUCUCCUGCCUCGGGACGGAGAGCGCCCUGGAAAAGGCAGACGGGCCCGACCUUAGUCACACAACAGCAAUGGCAAGAUUUUCACCCAAGCAAUCUGACUUGGAACCCAUGGAUUAACCAACUGCCACUGGAGGCAAAUCCAGAGACCAAGGGAGCAGUUUAUACAGAAACAGAAAAAUUAGCUGGGCAUGGUGGUGGGCGCCUGUAGUCCCAGCUACUCGGAAGGCUGAGGCAAAAGAAUGGUGUGAACCCAGGAGGCGGAGGUUGCAGUCAGCCGAGAUCGCACCACCGUACUCCAGUCUGGGCAACAGAGCGAGACGCCAUCUCAAAAAAAAAAAAAAGACAACCAUGUGAAGGCAGGGAGACACAGAGACAGCACCAUGUGAAGACAGAAAAUUGGAUUAAUGUAUCUAUAAGCCAAAGAAUGCCAGAUCGCCAGCAAACCACCAGAAGUAAGGAAGAGGCGAAGAAGGAUUCCCCUGCAGGUUUCAGAGAGGGAGCAUGGCCCCGCUGACACCUUGAUUUGGACUUCUUCCCACUAGAACUGUGAUACAAUAAAUUUCUGCUGUCUUAA